rnacentral:rRNA from 1 species
GUCUAUGGCCAUGCCGCCCUGAAUAUGCCCGAUCUCGUCUGACCUCGGAAGCCAAGCAGGGUCAGGCCUGAUUAGUACUUGGAUGGGAGACCACCCAGGAAUACCAGGUGCUGUAGGCG